GUGAGGAAUAUUGGACAAUGGGCGCAAGCCUGAUCCAGCCAUGCCGCGUGCAGGAAGACGCAUGUAUGGUGUGUAAACUGCUUUUGUACGGGAAGAAACACUCCCUCGUGAGGGAGCUUGACGGUACCGUAAGAAUAAGGAUCGGCUAACUCCGUGCCAGCAGCCGCGGUAAUACGGAGGAUCCAAGCGUUAUCCGGAAUCAUUGGGUUUAAAGGGUCCGUAGGCGGUUUAAUAAGUCAGUGGUGAAAGCCCAUCGCUCAACGAUGGAACGGCCAUUGAUACUGUUAGACUUGAAUUACAAGGAAGUAACUAGAAUAUGUAGUGUAGCGGUGAAAUGCUUAGAUAUUACAUGGAAUACCAAUUGCGAAGGCAGGUUACUACUUGUGGAUUGACGCUGAUGGACGAAAGCGUGGGGAGCGAACAGGAUUAGAAACCCCAGUAGUCC
rnacentral:rRNA from 1 species